AACGAACGCUGGCGGCAGGCUUAACACAUGCAAGUCGAACGCAUCCUUCGGGGUGAGUGGCAGACGGGUGAGUAACGCGUGGGAACGUGCCCUUCAGUUCGGGAUAACCCAGGGACACUUGGGCUAAUACCGGAUACGUGCGAGAGCAGAAAGAUUUAUCGCUGAAGGAUCGGCCCGCGUCUGAUUAGCUAGUUGGUGGGGUAAUGGCCCACCAAGGCGACGAUCAGUAGCUGGUCUGAGAGGAUGAUCAGCCACAUUGGGACUGAGACACGGCCCAAACUCCUACGGGAGGCAGCAGUGGGGAAUAUUGGACAAUGGGCGCAAGCCUGAUCCAGCCAUGACGCGUGAGUGAUGAAGGCCUUAGGGUUGUAAAGCUCUUUCGUCCGGGACGAUAAUGACGGUACCGGAAGAAGAAGCCCCGGCUAACUUCGUGCCAGCCGCCGCGGUAA
rnacentral:rRNA from 1 species